GAGAUCUCGCUAUGUUGCCUGUGCUGGUCUUGAACUCCUGGGCUCAAGUGAUCCUCCUGCCUCUGCCUCCCAAAGUGCUGGGAUUAUAGGUGUGAGCCACCCGCCUGGUCUUCUUGUGUGUCUUAUGUUGUAAUGUUGUCAGGUCCUCAACUGGGAAUCUUGACAUCAUUCUUUAUUCUUCCUUCCAUACAUCACCCAAUACGCUCUCCCUAAAUCUGCUCUCUCCCCUCCAUCUCUGCUGCUACUGACUUGGUCUAGGUUUUCAUCAUCUCUGACUGAAACUAUUGCAGCAGCUGCUAACUUGGUUCUCCAAUACUGCCCUUACUGUUACUGACACAGUACUCACAGUCCCCGACUUAGGAUGGUUCAGCUACAAUUUUUUAACUUUACAAUGUGAAAGUGAUGCACAUUCAGUAGAAACUGGAUUUCGAGUACUCAUACAACCAUUCUGUUUUUCACUUUUAGCGCAGUAUUAAGUAAGUUACAUGAGAUAUUCAACAUUUUAUUGUAAAAUAGGCUUUGUGUUAGAUGAUUUUGCCCAACUUUAGGCUAAGGUCAGUGUUCCGAGCCUGUUUAAGGUGGGCCAGGCUAAGCUAUGACGUUCGGUGGGUUAGGCAUAUUAAAUGCACUUUCGACUCAGGGUGUUUUCAAAGAUAGACGGGUUUAUCUAGACAAAACCUCAUUGUAAGUCAAGCAGCAUCUGCAUCGUUCCCACAGUUUCCUGCUUCAAAGUCACUACCAGCUCCCUACUGCAAACUUCUCAGCAUGGUGGUUUCCUUCUCAGUAAAAUAGGGAGGGUUUAAUAAGACAGUGGACAUCUGGAACAGAGAGACUUCGUAAGCGCUCGUUAGGCUUCUUCUGCCUGGAACGUGUUCUGCUUGGACCCUCCCCCCAUCAAGAGCAUCUCUCACCUGGGAAGUUGCGGCAGCCUCCGGCCGAGCAACCCCGCACCCAGCGGCCCUCGUUCACAGACACUGUCCAGGUCUGAAGCUUGUCAGACUGCAGAGCGUCGGCCGUGAGGUUGCAGAUCUCCAACUUUGUGAAAUGGUAGAUGAAAUCCUCAUAGGACAUCCUGAGAGGUUGGAAGAAAAGAGAGACCCAAACGGGAAAAGAUAUGGUGUCUCAUGAUGUUAUUCCAGCUAUACUUGAACUCCUCGGCUCAAGCGAUCCUCCCACCUCAGCGUCCCAAGUAGCUGGGACUAUGGCAUAUGCCGCCAUACCCGGCUUGCAUCUCGUUUUCUAAGCGACUGCUCUUAGCUACUGCUUAAGCUUUAUUAUAAUCAUUGAUUUGGAAAACUCAAA